GCAUCUGUACUUGAAUCUGAAACAUGGUUAAUCCCUUCAGGGUAUAUAUGGCAAGUUAGGUGUUCGCUGCUGUCUGAGGUUAAUCCCUUAAUUGGUUGUUGUUUAGGGUUGAUUAGAUUAUCCUUCUCCAAGGAAAUCCGUUAUAUAUUUUUGACAGCUACGGAUAUGCCUUUCUAAUUGUAGAGUGACAGCUUUAACCAAAGUCUGUUUACUUCACUCAGCCUUCUAUUCAUUGAUUUUGUACAUGGUUCUUGAAAGUAGAACUUCCUAAGCAUUUGAGAGUGUUCCAGUUUGCUUAAUCAUUGCGC
rnacentral:lncRNA from 1 species